AAUUUUUUUGUGUGUUUCAGAAAUACCUUUCUCUCAGGUAUCACAAAGAAUAACUUCUGCCUGGGCUUCUCGUGCUAAGAGAAGAACUAUGUGAAACUGCAGAUGACUAAGAAAGAAUUACUCAUACCCAGAUGAGGAAGAACAUGUUUUCUUUCAGGAUUUCAGGAGUUUGAGAUUCACCCAGGAGUUGUUACUAUAAAUUUUUCUUUCCACAAAAUCUUGGCAAUCAGAAUGAGUGUAAAGGGUAUAAACACGUAGACUUUUCACUGGAAAGACUUUGUGUAAAGAACAGAAUGAGAAAUUACACCAUCAGCACUUUAAAGUCAUGCGAGUAAGCUGGCUGAAGAAGAAACACUUUGGAAUCUCUUUUACAUCUGAAGCUUACGGAACUCAAACGUAUUCUACGUCAGCAUUCUAUUACGCGUGGACAACCUAUUCAAUAGAUGGAAGGCAAGAUUUCAAUUUCCCAUGUGCUGACUGCUGCGAUUAG
rnacentral:lncRNA from 1 species